UACAGAGGGGUGCAAACGUUGCUCGGGAAUCAUUGGGGCGUAAAGCGCGUGUAGGCGGCACGACAAGUCAGACUGGUGAAAGCCCCUCGGCUCAACCCGAGGAAAGUGCAGCUGAAACUGUCGCGCUAGAGUGCUGAAGAGGGUGGCGGGAAUGCGCAGUGUAGAGGUGAAAUUCGUAGAUAUUGCGUAGAACACCAGUGGCGAAGGCGGCCACCUGGGAAGCUACUGAGCUAAGACGCGAAAGCAUGGGGAGCAAACAGGG
rnacentral:rRNA from 1 species